AUUGAACGCUGGCGGCAUGCUUUACACAUGCAAGUCGAACGGCAGCGCGGGCUUCGGCCUGGCGGCGAGUGGCGAACGGGUGAGUAAUGCAUCGGAACGUGCCCAGUAGUGGGGGAUAGCCCGGCGAAAGCCGGAUUAAUACCGCAUACGACCUGAGGGUGAAAGCGGGGGACCGAAAGGCCUCGCGCUAUUGGAGCGGCCGAUGUCGGAUUAGCUAGUUGGUGGGGUAAAGGCUUACCAAGGCGACGAUCCGUAGCUGGUCUGAGAGGACGACCAGCCACACCGGGACUGAGACACGGCCCAGACUCCUACGGGAGGCAGCAGUGGGGAAUUUUGGACAAUGGGGGCAACCCUGAUCCAGCCAUGCCGCGUGCGGGAAGAAGGCCUUCGAGUUGUAAACCGCUUUUGUUCGGGAAGAAAUCCUCUGGGCUAAUACCCCGGGGGGAUGACGGUACCGGAAGAAUAAGCACCGGCUAACUACGUG
rnacentral:rRNA from 1 species